rnacentral:rRNA from 1 species
CCUACGGGAGGCAGCAGUGAGGAAUAUUGGUCAAUGGACGAGAGUCUGAACCAGCCAAGUAGCGUGAAGGAUGACUGCCCUAUGGGUUGUAAACUUCUUUUAGAUGGGAAUAAAAUGGUCCACGCGUGGGAUUUUGUAUGUACCAUACGAAUAAGGACUGGCUAACUUCGGGCCAGCAGCCGCGGUAAUACGGAGGAUUCGAGCGUUAUCCGGAUUUAUUGGGUUUAAAGGGAGCGUAGGUGGAUUGUUAAGUUAGUUGUGAAAGUUUGCGGCUCAACCGUAGAAUUGCAGUUGAAACUGGCAAUCUUGAGUGCGGUAGAGGUAGGCGGAAUGCGUGGUGUAGCGGUGAAAUGCUUAGAUAUCACGAAGAACUCCGAUUGCGAAGGCAGCUCACUGGACUGCGACUGACGCUGAGGCUCGAAAGUGUGGGUAUCAAACAGGAUUAGAUACCCGAGUAGUC